GGACAGAGAGUUUCUGAAAGCUGCCUUCUUCUCUCCCAGAGCUGAGAUUACAGACAAGUUCUUCAGCAGGCAACCUCUGUGCCAGGAGGAUCCCUCACCAGGAAUGCCCACGGGGACAUCCAAGAGUCCCUCUUCUUGAACAUUGGAGAAUCUAAGGGAAACAACGGGUCAAAUGCUGGACCAGCAGUCUGCACAGAGGACUGAGUUCAGCUCCUUGGUUCAUACCCUCUUGCUGUGUGAUAAUAAUCAGGUCUCUUUAUCUUUUUCUACAAAAUUGUCUCUUCCUCUAGAAUAACGAAGUCAUCAGACUAGAUCAGGAUUUGUGCAUAUAUACUUUUAGCUACAUAUGGAUAUCUCCAGAGGUCAUUAAUACUGAUGCCAAUAUGGGCACAGUAGCACAUGCAUUUUUCCUCUUGUGUUGCAACUCCUCUGUCUGAGAUAUCUUGUGUCCCUUGAUGCACUUCUGUGAAACUCCUGAACAAGAAACUUAGAUUUUUUUUUAAGGACCCUGUGAUGGUUUGUAAUUGCUUGGCCCAGGGUGUGGCAGCAUUAGGAGGUGUGGCCUUGUUGGAGUAGGUGUGUCAAUGUGGGUGUGGGCUAUAAGACCCUCAUCCUAGCUGCCUGGAAGUGAGUCUUCUUCUAGCAGUCCUCAGAUGAAGAUGUAGAACUCUCAGCUCCUGCACCAUGCCUGCCUGGAUGCUGCCAUGCUCCCACCUUCAUGAUAAUGGACUGAAUAUCUGAACCUGUAAGCCAGCCCCAGUUAAAUGUUGUCUUUACAAGAGUUGCCUUGGUCAUGGUGUCUGUUCACAGAAGUGAAACCCUAAGACAAACCCAGAGGCUGAAUAGUUUCACCUAAAUUCUUACAUUAUAUCCCCAAUCUCCAAUAUAUGUGUACAGGAAAGCAGAGUUUUAGGAAGUGACUGUUUCAAAAUGGCAGGAUAAUGGGGUCCUAAUCAAAAAAGAUUCAUGGCCCCAUAAAAAGAGGAGGAGGCGUCAUCUCUCUGUCCAUGUGAACAUAGUUAGAAAAGACCAGGGGAGCACUCAGUGAGAAGGCAGCUGUCUGAAAGUCAGAAAAGAGCCCCAUCAGGACCAACUCAGCUAACACCUUUACUAAAACUGUAAGCCACUAAAACUUACAGAAAUAAAUGCUUGCUGUGGGAGCUACCAGCUGUGGUAUUUGGUAAUGUAAGCCUGAAUGAAUACUAGCUGAAGCAUGGUCACCUCUUAGCCAGGCAUGAGAAUGGCCAUAAUAACUCUGAGUCAACCCCUGUGAUAUCUGCAUGUCAGCAUCCCCCAGUUGAAGACAAAGAAAUAUCCACUUCUGGCACGAAUUUCCCCCUGUGCUCCAGACCAUACCCAGAUCCCCCUGCCCAGCUCUUCUGCAUUACAUUUAACUACUUAAUUAUCUCUUCAUUGAGUUAGGAAAAUCCAAGAUAAAGAUCACACAGGUUGUUGAGUCUUUCCAGGUACUUCUCAUUCCUUUUUCUUCUUCUAAACAACCUUUCUGACACACUUACAAGUAUUUGAUAACAUAAAAAUGUCAUAGACAUCCUGCCUAGCUUUGAUAACUCGUCACCCAUGGACCUUUGUACACUCCUUACAUCUUUCUGCUUUUAAGCUCUGUGUCUUUGACUAGAAUUAUUCUUCUACCAGCUCUGGCUGUCUAAGCCCUAUCCACCUGGCAAGAGUCAGCUCUGACUCUACUUUCACCAUGAAAAUUCCUAAAAUCUCUAGGCAGAUGUGCUGUUCUUAUGUCUUCUGCACUUGUCACCAAUAGCAAUGCUGAGCUAAUGGUGGCACAGAGCUCCUACUGCCCUGCUAUAAUUGUAUGACUGCUUCUUAAAUCUCCCUUGAUAUUGUAAAUGUCUUGAGGACAAGAACCGAGCCUUGCAUCUAUCUUUUAAUCUUAGAUAGUCUGGCACUGUGCCUUGUAAUUAGAACAGGCUCAAUAAAUAAUGGUUAAAAGAAUGAAUGGGUGAAUGGAUAAAUGAAUUUGAGAGUAACUGUCUCUGAUUAGGUUGGGAACUACUUACAUAUAGAUGGAGCUUUAAUGUGGAUGUGCAUAAAAGAGGAAGUAUGAUCCUGGAAUACUUGAUGAGUCUGGG
rnacentral:lncRNA from 1 species